rnacentral:tRNA from 1 species
GAAGGGAUAGGUCAGUGGUAGAGCUUGUGCUUAGCAUGCACAAGAUCCUGGGUUCAAUCCCCACUAUCUCCA